rnacentral:rRNA from 1 species
UGCAAUAGCACCACCUGACCCCAUGCCGAACUCAGAAGUGAAAUGUUGUAAUGCCGAUGGUAGUGUGGGGAUUCCCCAUGUGAGAGUAGGUC